rnacentral:lncRNA from 1 species
AUUCGAUGCUACCUAUCGUCAGGCUGAAGAAGAAGGUAAAUUUGAUGAAAGCUAUUUGUUUCAGGAAGAACCUGUUGAUCCUGAACACGAGGAGAAUGUCAGGAAGUUCAAAGCAGAAAAUGAAGCGAGGAAGCGUAAGCUUCGUGAUUAUCAGAAACUUCUGGAAGACAAGUUGAUCACAGAGGAACAAAUCAAGAUUGAAAAGCAGAAAAUCUAUGAUGCUGCGAUCAAGCAGAAGAAUCUUGAAAUUAAAAGAAAAGAAGGAAAAGGCUGG